rnacentral:rRNA from 1 species
GACGAACGCUGGCGGCGUGCUUAACACAUGCAAGUCGAACGGAAAGGCCCUGCUUUUGUGUGGUGCUCGAGUGGCGAACGGGUGAGUAACACGUGAGUAACCUGCCCUUGACUUUGGGAUAACUUCAGGAAACUUGGGCUAAUACCGGAUAGGAGCUCCUGCUGCAUGGUGGGGGUUGGAAAGUUUCGGCGGUUGGGGAUGGACUCGCGGCUUAUCAGCUUGUUGGUGGGGUAGUGGCUUACCAAGGCUUUAACGGGUAGCCGGCCUGAGAGGGUGACCGGGCACAUUGGGACUGAGAUACGGCCCAGACUCCUACGGGAGGCAGCAGUGGGGAAUAUUGCACAAUGGGCGGAAGCCUGAUGCAGAAACGCCGCGUGCGGGAUGACGGCCUUCGGGUUGUAAACCGCUUUCGCCUGUGACGAAGCGUGAGUGACGGUAAUGGGUAAAGAAGCACCGGCUAACUACGUG